UACUCCAUUUUAUGAGCUGAAGAUACUAUAGUAAUCUCCUCCCAUACACAUCCCAAUUCACUAGAUCUUAGAAAGCUCAGAAGUGCUUGCUAUAUUAUAGAUACACAGUCUCACCUCAAGCACCGCCCCGAUCCAGUUCGCCAUAGUGACUGAAGACCAGGCAUGAAUUGGAGAGUUCCUUGUGGUUCUCUUUAGACAACUUGCCUUAGAGAAGUAAUCGCAGCGUAUUUAGAUUUACAAAAUGUCCUAAAGGUUCUGCUCCCUGUUGGUAAGUACUGGUAUCCAGGAAACAGGGACAACCCUAACUUUUCUGAGGACCAAGAGCUGCAAGUUUCUAGCUGAAUGUUUGCAUCCCCAAGACCUAAACUCUGAUACUGGGACUCUGUCCCUUGAUUUUUGGAGUCAAGAGUCUUUGGUGCAUUGUGGUUAGAUGAGGUCACUCAUGAAUAAAACUUAGCAAUCUUAGAACUUCUAUCCUUUAUUUUGCUGCCCCCCCAUGUGAAGUACAAUGACCACAAGACCCUCUCCAGAACCUGACAGUCCAUGUCUUUAUAUCAGGCUCCUUCUAAAACGGUUAAAAUAAACUGUUGUUGAUAAGCUCUGGGUUGUGUUAUAGCAGCCAGAGCUGAUUAAAACACUGGCUGAGUCUUGAGACCUGGUGACAAAUAAACUGCUUCUUAGGAACUCUUAUCAUAUUAUUAUCCAUGUAACAGAAGGCUUAGCUAGAUGAGAUAUUGCCAAGAGGACAGCCACUCCCGUAGUACCAUCCUAAUUUAACCUAUGUACUGUUGUACUGUGGUUGGCUUAAUAUUUCUUUAAAUCGUUUUGCUUGAUUUUAUAGCAGUUAUUUUAAGAAUUUUAUAUUAGCUGAGCAUGGUGGCUCAUUCCUUCAAUUCCAGCACUUGGGAGGCAGAAGCAAGUGGAUCUUGUGAGUUUGAGGAUAGCCUCGUCUAUAUAAUGAGUUCCAGGCCGGGCCAGCCAACCAAUAUAGUAGGGCACUUUCCUUAAAAUCUGAUGAAAACCAGUUCUGCUAUAGAAAUGACAAUCCCUAACAAAGACUCUCCUUUGACCAAACUUGAGCCAUCCUCUAAAUCUUAUUUCUAACUUAGCCUUUUAGCUCUGCUUGCUUAGUCCAGUUUUAGCAAGUAAACCUGAUGGGUCAGUUUAGUGACAGCCUCCCACCCUUGGAAUCUAACCAAAUUCCUUAUCACCUGUUCUUGAUAUCACCCACAGUGGUAGUUUUGUCAGUAAUUUUCUAUCCACUGACCUACCUGUUCUUGACUGCAUAUCUCUACUUGCUCUUCUUCUAGGCACAGUUGAGCUGGGAUUGCAUUCAUGCAGCACCACACCUGGGUUAUGUGGUGCUGCUAAUCAAACCCAGGGCUUCAUGAAUGCUAGGCAAGCAGUCUGUCACUGAGUGACCUCCCCAGCUUGAAUACUAUGUUUAACUCCUGAAAUAUCAGCCUCCUGGAGUGGAGGCCAAAGGCCAGGCAGGACUUUGAAUCUGCAUAGUGUUGAGAAUAGUCAGGCAAGGAGAUUGAAGCAGCUCUACAGGUGGCUUGAUUAAAUAGCUUAGGAGGAGGAACUUGGGCCCAGAUAUGACAUGAAUGAGAAAGGUUUCUUUUCUGAGUCACCUUCAGUUUCUCUCUAACCUAAAAGGCUUCGAGAAUCAUCCAGCCUAAAACAGUUCCAUGUUUACGAUCCACCUUUCCACAAAGUACACUGAAUGAGAGUAGUUGAUCAGGAAUCAGACACCACCUCGAAUGAUGUAUUUACAAGUGGCCUCAUUAGUCCAUAAGAGACAAUGCAUGGUACCAUAAUAAAGGCCUGGAAAGUGUUCAAAACUGUAUUUAAAAUGUAAAUUUCUUACCCAGUAAUAGCCAUUUUUAGAAAGCAGAAAGUGCCACGCACACCCCAGUGAAGUCUUCUUGGCAGGCCGAGAGGCCUGGAAGCACUCACGAGGCAAAGAGGUUCACGGAAACUCACCUCCUGGAGCUUUGGUGUUCUCAUUAACCCGUAUACUCAUACCCUAUUCCUGCGUUAGUCUGGUGCAUGGAUCCACGUGCUCUCUUUUAGUAUUAUUUUAUUAUAAGUGCCUUUUAAGAUUGAAUUCUGACAUAGCUAAGCCUUCGCCAGUGUUCCAACAUCCUUGAAAGUCCUUGAACUGACCAUGGGCUUGGAAUUCAGUAACAAUGUUGCCUAUUCAGUGACAUUCAGAAUUGCCUCUGGUAUUACUCUAUCACUUAGAAUAAAAGCCAAGUUGCUCCCAUAUACAGGAAUUUACAAUGGUUUAGGAAGUAGAUCGGGCUGUGAUUUUAGAGUUUUGCAUUCAUGAGAUGGUUAGCUAGAACGGAACUCCCUAAUUAGAACCAUGACUUGGGUGUGAAAGCUCUUGACCUAGGAAUGUAAAGACCUCACACCUGGCUUCUAAGACUAUAGCUGACCUUAGAUAGGGCUGACUUUGUCUCAGUUGUUUUAUUGCCCAGUUCCUGCCAGUCUUUGUGUUUACAUUCCUCUGUUUUGUGUAAGAGUCAUUAAGCAUCCAAUAACCUCAUUUGUACCUUGCCGAUGUGUCAUCUAACUUUCCUAUUCUGUAUAAAAAGUUUGAUGCUCAAUUUGACAAAUUACAUUCAGAUUCUACACAAUCUCGCGUGUUGGUCUGUCUGUCACUCGCCAACUCCUUGCCCAUCUGCACCCAGAGACCCGUUCCACUCAGACAAGGGACCCAGAGGGUCUGCGGCAAGAAAGAGUUCAAAGUAAUUGACUUGAAUAUAGAGCAUUUGCAAGAAAAUGGAUAAAAGUUGACUGAAUGUGUGGGCCUUUUAAAAUUUAUAAAUAGUGUUUGUAAGUGGCAUUAUCGAAUGUAAAUGACCAAGUAACAAAUACAGAUAAGGACCCAGACAGCCUGUGUAUGAACAGCUAGAAUUAAUAGCUUGGUCUUUCAUCCCGUAUGCUCAGUUCCUUCACGGAAAACUAAUGUACAACUAUAAUUCAUGAUUUUUAGGCAGAGGCAUGAGGUUCACCAAUGAGUUCCAGGACAUACGUUCUAGACUAUAUAUAGCAGUAACAUGCCUCAAAAACAAACAAACAAACAAAAAACUU
rnacentral:lncRNA from 1 species